ensembl:lncRNA
CCAGAACUGCUCAGGCUUGGUAGCUGGGCCCAUGCCUCCCACAGGCUGCUUGGAGCCACUGGUGAUGUUGAAGAGGCCCUCCUUCCCUGCAAGAGCAGCCUGGGCUCGGGAACUCGGUCUCCUGCCACUCCCCCGCCUCGAGAGGACCCUGAUAGUGGUCCUGCCCAUUGGCCUUGGAGCAGCCCCGUGGGCUCCACUUUACAGACAGCCUUUGGAACAGGGAGGGGACAGGCGCCGAUUUCAGCGCAGGACAGGAGGGCACCCCGCUGGAGAGCGACUGCCUUGCCUCGUGCAUUCGUUGUUGGGGCUGGCCUGGGCUGGCCCAGCACCUGAGACGUCUCGCCUCAUCAGUUUGCAGGCAUCAUGGCGUAUGGUGGUGGGUCUGUCUACCACCAACUGGGAGCCCCUCCCCUCCUGAGGGCUUGGUGCGGUUCUGGCCUGUGGCAGAGGAACCCCCGACGACCUGCAGCCAGAAAGAGGGGUGGGAAGGAGAUGAUGAAGGGGAGUGAACUGAGACCCUGAGUCCUUGCCCUCACCCAAGUAUGACCAGUCGCCAGAGACCCAGGAAACCAGAUGACGGAUGUGUGCUCUGAGGGCUCUGGUCGCCGCCUUCUCACCUGGGCAUGACAGCCAGUGCACCUGUGCCACCAACCCACUCUGCCCUCCCCGGCUGGUGCCCGGGCCCCAAGGCCAGCAUGCACCAGGCAGGGUGCCACCAGCAGGGCAGGUACCAGGGCCACGGAGGGCCUUGGCCUGCGCAGCUGGGCAGUGGGCACCAGAGCCCUCGCUGCGUCCUGUUGAUUCUGGGAGGGUUUUCCGAUCUCUCUGGCCUGAUGCUCGCAUGGCCAGCCGGGGAGCUGGGAUGCAGUGGAGAGGUGGAGCCAGCCUUUGCAACCCCAAGCCCCGGCCCUCGCUGGCAGAGAGGUGGCCGUGGGGGAGGGGCAGGAGCUUCCCUCCGCUGUCUGGCGGGCCGCCUCCAGAUCUAGGUCAUCGUGCUUCAGCCUCACUCUCUGCCUUCCGCAAGCUGUGUUCCGUGGGAUUUUUUAAAUACCUGAAUGCCUCUGGGAGAAACUCAGUGUUGGUGCCAUUUCGUAUCUGCACCUUCGGCUUUUCGUGACAUUACAGAGCUACAGCGAGGACAGAGAGUCUCAGAGAUGCCAGGACACCUUGAGGAGGUCGCCUCCAGCCCCCUGGUAACCCCUGAGCGCAUCCCUUUGGAGGGCCCCCAGGGUCACACGGUCAGGCAGCUCUUCCCCCCUGAGUCACACUGUGCUCAGGGUCCCUGUCACCCCGACCCCUGCCCUGGGCUGUGUUCUCUCCCAGGGCCCUUCAGUGGUCUGUCUCUCAUUGGCUGCAGCUGGAGGCCCACAGUCCCCUGACCACUGACCCUCGUGGGGGCAGGGGCACCCGCCUCCCCUCUGGGUCCCCGGGUCCCAAGGCUGGCUCACCGCCGCAGAGCACAGGCGCCCUUUGUGGCCUGCUCCAGCUGCCCAGUGAGUGGGGGAUGCAGUGUGGACCAAGGCUCUGCCCCACUUGGAAGCCUCUCUGUCCCUGGAGCACACAGUCGCUUUAACGGGGCGAGCGUGCCCUCCUGGCAGGGCAGCUGCUGUGGACUCCGAGCUCUUUUAAUUGGCCUGUGUCCAUCGGUGACGAGGACGGGUGUGUGUCAUCACGCUCUUACAUUUUUCUAACAAGGAGAUCAAGAGAAGCAUUCUCCAAUGGCCCUCACUGCACACACAAGCCCCCCUCCACAGCUCCUGGGGCCCACGCACCCGACUCGGCCAACUGCCCGAGGCUCCGAGGCCUGGGGUCAGCAGGGAUGGGAAGGGUAGUCCAGGCAGAGGGAGGCACGAAGCCAGGGGGCACCCACAAGUGCAGGGCAGGAGGUGUGAGUGGGGCGGCAGCCCUCCUGACUCGGUGGUCUCAGGUCUUCUCACCUGUAUGGCUGAGCCAGUGCAGCAGGCCCAGCAAGGACGGUACGUGGGAGCGGUGCCCACAAUCAGACAAAGGCAGGGCCCAGGAGGGCAUCAGGGCCCAAUGGGGCGGCCUGACCGACCAGGGCAUGUCCCUGGACUGCCUGGGAGCUGGUCACACCCUUUGGGGGAGCGAGGUCUGGGCCCAGAGGUUGGGGUUCGCUGUUUGGUCUCACCACACUCUGAACCUCUGCUUCCUGGUCUGAGCAGGGGCCCAACUACGCCCAUUCCAGCCUGUGUUGGUGCCUCCGGGAAGGGCGGGGUAGGUAAGGGCUGCAAGCGCCCGAGCCUGCUCUACCUGACAUCUGUGUGUCACCUGGAGCAAACUGCUCCAUCUCUGAAACUGGCACCCGUGUCACCUGCCACCUCCGUCAUGCCUGUCACUGUGGUUUACACAGAGCCCAUCUCCCCACAAGUUGCUUCCUUUUCCGGCCCCAGGUGACCACGUGGACGCCCACAAGUCUGUGCUGGAGGGGAGGGAGACACAGCACAGGCUACACGCAGCCUCUGGAGAAUUUCUUCACUAAAGGAGGUUUUUUCCUGAAAAACGUCAAGCUAUUUGUAGCCCAA